rnacentral:lncRNA from 1 species
UAUAUAUAUAUAUAUAUACAGAUUGUAUGCUUAUGAUUAUGAAUGUCAUUUUAAUGAAAUGCUUGAAAUGCGUUGCUGAGUAUAUAUCAAAUUGUAUAUAGCUUUGAACAAGCUUGCAGCUUGAAGUUCGAUUUAUGAGCAGAGGUAAAAGAAAUCAAAUGGCUACCUUGUGAGAAAUUUCAGUGAGUGUUGAUCCUGUUUGUUUGCUGGAAAAGAAGGUUCAUAGAUAUGAAUACCAUUUAAAUGAAGGCUCUUAUUCAUAGGGAAGAAUGUAAAGAAACUGAUUUAGAAAUCUUACUUGUGUGCUGGAUUCUGUACGCCAAAGAGAGAGUCUGAAAUGGUGGGAAUUGCCAAGAGGAAAUGGCUUUGCAGACAAGUCUGAAAUGGUGGGUGGAAGGGAAUGAGUAUUAUGGCUAAAGUUUAUUUUGGUGGGGGGCAAAGUAUGGUGUGAAGUGUGAGUGGGGAGAGUGGAAAGUGUG